rnacentral:rRNA from 1 species
GACAGAGGUCCCGAGCGUUAGGCGGAAUCACCGGGCUUAAAGCGUGUGUAGGCGGACUUCUAAGUACCUUGUAAAAUCCCACGGCUUAACCGUGGAACUGCUUGGUAUACUGGUUGUCUUGGGCCAUCUAGGGGCUACUGGAACAAACGGUGGAGCGGUGAAAUGCGUAGAUAUCGUUUGGAACGCCAAUGGUGAAAACAAGUAGCUGGGGAUGUGCCGACGCUGAGACACGAAAGCCAGGGGAGCGAACGGG